AGCGAACGCUGGCGGCAGGCUUAACACAUGCAAGUCGAGCGGGCAUCCUUGUGGUGUCAGCGGCAGACGGGUGAGUAACGCGUGGGAACGUGCCCUUCGGUUCGGAAUAACUCAGGGAAACUUGAGCUAAUACCGGAUACGUGCGAGAGCAGAAAGGUUUAUCUGCCGAAGGAUCGGCCCGCGUCUGAUUAGCUAGUUGGUGAGGUUAUGGCUCACCAAGGCGACGAUCAGUAGCUGGUCUGAGAGGAUGAUCAGCCACACUGGGACUGAGACACGGCCCAGACUCCUACGGGAGGCAGCAGUGGGGAAUAUUGGACAAUGGGGGCAAUCCUGAUCCAGCCAUGCCGCGUGAGUGAUGACGGCCUUAGGGUUGUAAAGCUCUUUUCUUCGGGACGAUAAUGACGGUACCGGAGGAAUAAGCCCCGGCUAACUUCGUG
rnacentral:rRNA from 1 species